rnacentral:rRNA from 1 species
AUUGAACGCUGGCGGCAGGCUUAACACAUGCAAGUCGAGCGGAGCGAGGGUGCUUGCACCUUAGCUUAGCGGCGGACGGGUGAGUAAUGCUUAGGAAUCUGCCUAUUAGUGGGGGACAACAUUCCGAAAGGAAUGCUAAUACCGCAUACGCCCUACGGGGGAAAGCAGGGGAUCUUCGGACCUUGCGCUAAUAGAUGAGCCUAAGUCGGAUUAGCUAGUUGGUGGGGUAAAGGCCUACCAAGGCGACGAUCUGUAGCGGGUCUGAGAGGAUGAUCCGCCACACUGGGACUGAGACACGGCCCAGACUCCUACGGGAGGCAGCAGUGGGGAAUAUUGGACAAUGGGGGGAACCCUGAUCCAGCCAUGCCGCGUGUGUGAAGAAGGCCUUAUGGUUGUAAAGCACUUUAAGCGAGGAGGAGGCUCUUUUGGUUAAUACCCAAGAUGAGUGGACGUUACUCGCAGAAUAAGCACCGGCUAACUUCGUGCCAGCCGCCGCCGUAAGAC